rnacentral:misc_RNA from 1 species
UCCGGUUUGUCACCGGCAGUCUCCCUAGAGUUCCCGACCGAAUCGCUGGCAACUAGGGACAAGGGUUGCGCUCGUUACGGGACUUAACCCAACAUCUCACGACACGAGCUGACGACAGCCAUGCAGCACCUGUCACGGGCCCUUACGGACACCAUAUCUCUAUGGCUUUUCCCGUGAUGUCAAGCCCAGGUAAGGUUCUUCGGGUUGCAUCGAAUUAAGCCGCAUGCUCCGCCGCUUGUGCGGGCCCCCGUCAAUUCCUUUGAGUUUCAUCCUUGCGGACGUACUCCCCAGGCGGUGGGCUUAGUGCGUUAGCUGCGACACCGAGGGGCAAGCCCCCCAACAUCUAGCACACAUCGUUUACAGCGUGGACUAC